rnacentral:rRNA from 1 species
UACGUAGGGUGCGAGCGUUAAUCGGAAUUACUGGGCGUAAAGAGUGCGUAGGCGGUUCUCCAAGUCCGUUGUGAAAGCCCCGGGCUCAACCUGGGAAUGGCAGUGGAAACUAGGGGACUUGAAUCUGGCAGAGGGGGGUGGAAUGCCGCGUGUAGCAGUGAAAUGCGUAGAGAUGCGGCGGAACACCGAUGGCGAAGGCAGCCCCCUGGGCUGAGAUUGACGCUCAGGCACGAAAGCGUGGGGAUCAAACAGG